AAUUCCAACUUUCAGAAAAAGGACUUGAGGGACGAGAUGCCCGAACCAUUACUGCCUGUGAUCACAAUGUCAUCUACAUAUACCACCAAGAGAAUCAUGCCAGCCGCUGUUCUUUGAUAAAAUACAGAAUGAUCGCACUUGCUUUGGCUCAUGCCAAAUUUCUGUACGACAGUACUAAACCGGUCAA